rnacentral:rRNA from 1 species
AUGGCUGUCGUCAGCUCGUGUCGUGAGAUGUUGGGUUAAGUCCCGCAACGAGCGCAACCUUACCCUUAGUUGUUUUCCCGAAAGGAUUACCCUCUAAGGGGACUGCCCCGGACAACGGGGAGGAAGGUGGGGAUGACGUCAAGUCCGCAUGCUCCUUACGUCUAGGGCUACACACGUCCUACAAUGGGGUCGACAGUGGGAUGCAAAGCCGCGAGGUGGAGCCAAUCCCCAAACGGCCUCUCAGUUCGGAUAGUAGUCUGCAACUCGACUACUUGAAGUCGGAAUCGCUAGUAAUGGCGGAUCAGCAUGCCGCCGUGAAUACGUUCCCGGGUCUU